rnacentral:tRNA from 1 species
GCGAGAGUGGUGAAACUGGCAGACACGCCGGAUUUAGGUUCCGGUGCCUAACGGCAUGAGGGUUCAAGUCCCUUCUCUCGCA